CCUACGGGAGGCAGCAGUGGGGAAUAUUGGGCAAUGGGCGAAAGCCUGACCCAGCAACGCCGCGUGAAGGAAGACGGCUUUCGGGUUGUAAACUUCUUUUGACAGGGAAGAGCAGAAGACGGUACCUGUCGAAUAAGACACGGCUAACUACGUGCCAGCAGCCGCGGUAAUACGUAGGUGGCAAGCGUUGUCCGGAUUUACUGGGUGUAAAGGGCGUGUAGCCGGGCUGACAAGUCAGAUGUGAAAUCCGGGGGCUCAACCCCCGAACUGCAUUUGAAACUGUUUGUCUUGAGUAUAGUGGAGGCAGGCGGAAUUCGUGGUGUAGCGGUGAAAUGCGUAGAUAUUAGGAGGAACACCAGUGGCGAAGGCAGCCUGCUGGACGACAACUGACGGUGAGGCGCGAAAGCGUGGGGAGCAAACAGGAUUAGAUACCCGGGUAGUC
rnacentral:rRNA from 1 species